rnacentral:sRNA from 12 species
CCUUUGGAGUGUUAUAUCAAAUGUGAGUAGAAUACAAUGUAUUUGAAAACAGACACGUUGAAAAAGGAA